UUCAAACCCUAGUUUCUGCAAUGAGCUUCUUGAGGCCCUCUGUGUUGUACCGGUUUUUGUUGGUGACUUACCAUUCACUCCGAUGGAUGCCUUGUCAGAGCUGGGUGUUUCUUCGCUGUCCUAGUCUUGACAGUUUUAUUCGCCUUCUCAUCAUUGUGCUUUUAUGGUCUAUGUUUUCUGAAAUUCGAUACAUUACAUCUUCGUCCAUGUACCCAACUCUUCGUGUUGGUGAUAGGAUCAUCGUUGAAAGGGGUUUAGUGUGGGCCUGUGUUACAUGGACUCUUCUAUUUGCUCCUGAUUACCCGUGUUCACCGGAUACGACAUCAAAUUUGCUAUUAAAGUAAUAUUUUUAGUCUCUCACAUGAAUUGGAUAUCGAAAUUUCAUAUUCUUUUUUUAAACCUAUUUAAUUUCUAGAUAUUUUUACAUAAUUUGCAACAUCUCAUCCGAGAAUAUUAUGUAAUAUGUAAUAUAUAUGUGUAUAUGACUCGUCCCUUUACCCAUAUUCAAUUUCGGAUUUGUAUUUCAAGUUCCUAAAAUUUAAAUUUAUGAAAGUCUGACAAUUGGAUACACACACCCAAUACUCCUACUUGAGUCCAUAUAACAUAGGUAUAUGCACAAUGGCUUGCGGAGUUUGAUGAAUAAUUUUUUCACUUGCUUUAUUGCUUUCCUAAAUUGCUGACCCUGUGUGGGCUGUGAUGAGUUCUAAUUGUUUUUAGGAUUCAAAUGGCAUUUAUUAUCAUUUUGUUGUUUAAUGACAAGAUGUAUAUACUUUGCUUGGAUUUUUCUGUUAAGUUUACUUCUAGUCAAAUUUUAAGUGAUUUCUAUUUAUAGAAUUAUCACACAGGGCCACUAGUUAUUCCUCUUUAUGAUGUUGAAUCCGUAAUCUAUUAGUUCUCUGACCCAAUUUUGUGAACUGAGACUCAAGCAAUCUAAAUUUUCACACAUUUCAACAAAUGCCAAAGGGUUGUUCGUUUGAAAUGAUUCCUACUUCAUAAAAGCAGUAAUUUGUUUUGUCUCCAUCCCUGCAGUAAUUGCAUCUCAUGAGCAGGACGGCACUUUUUAUUCGAAACUAAUUAAAAAAUAUAUGCAACUAUAAUUUAUACUUGGUAGGUACUUUAUGCAUAUUUUUCCGCUCUGCCUUUGGCAGAUUUGUGCUGUGUUUGGCCCUCGUUACUCAUAACUAAUGCUCAAUUGUUAAGACUGUUUAAACGAGUGUGUAUUAUUAAUUAUUAUUAUUAUUAUUUUUAUAGCAUUGAUAGGUUUUUUAGCCAUAUUGGACAUAAUAAUCACUGUUUGUAGGCUUCAUUCAUGCAUUUAUCUACAUGAUUCUUCUGUGUCCCUAUUCUUGUGUGGCAUUAUGUCUUAUAUUGCCAUGAUUCUUGAAGAAUUAUGUAACCUCUCACGCAUUUGAAUUCAUGCAUUUAUCUACACAUUCUUGGUUUGUAUGCUAUGUUUCUUGAUUUGGAUGAUACUUUUCCUGAAAUUGACAUUGAGAUCAGCAAUCACAUGAGACAGGCAUUUAUGUUACAAACAUCCAAUUUCUUCAUUCAAGCACCCAUAUAUAGAGAGACAUUUGGUCAGUGGAAUCUCAUGGAGCUAAAUGACCUGGCAAGAAGUCCAGAAUGACAUCAGUUAGAUUAGUGAGAUGCGGUUUGCUAUUAUAUUAUUUAACUGAAUAAACUACUAAAAUGGUGGAAUAGUAGAAACUUUUGUUGACUCCACAUGCUGUGCAUGGCAUGGCAUUAGCAAUAGAUUUUAAGAAGUCAUGUUUUAUUUUAGCAAUUCGAGAAGAAUCCUUGAAUGGAAACGUGGCACCAAAAUAACAAAGAGUAUGCUUAAUUUGACAUGCUCAAGUUAUGGUAGUUUAGUAAUACUGAUUUUGGUAAUUUUAAACUAAAUCUUAUCAACCCAACUGGAGGCUUGAAGCACCAUUUAUACACCAUGAGAAGCACGAAGACGGACACAAGACGUGACAGAGACACACUAACACAA